CUACGGGAUGCAGCAGUGGGGAAUAUUGCGCAAUGGGCGAAAGCCUGACGCAGCAACGCCGCGUGAUCGAUGAAGCUUCAAGGAGUGUAAAGAUCUGUCCUAAGGGAAGAAUGGUUCCAAGUCGAAUAGGCUUGGUUCGUGACGGUACCUUAGAAGAAAGCGCCGGCUAACUUCGUGCCAGCAGCCGCGGUAAUACGAGGGGCGCAAGCGUUGUCCGGAUUCAUUGGGUGUAAAGGGUGCGUAGGUGGAUUUGUAAGUUGGAAUUUAAAUCCCGCAGCUUAACUGCGGACCUGGUUUCAAAACUGCAGAUCUUGAGUUCGAAAGAGGGGAGUGGAAUUCCUAGUGUAGCGGUGGAAUGCGUAGAUAUUAGGAGGAACACCAGUGGCGAAGGCGGCUCUCUGGUUCGAUACUGACACUAAGGCACGAAAGCGUGGGGAGCAAACAGGAUUAGAUACCCUCGUAGUC
rnacentral:rRNA from 1 species